GACGAACGCUGGCGGCGUGCUUAACACAUGCAAGUCGAACGAGAAGGGAUGAGAAGCUUGCUUCUUAUCAAUUCGAGUGGCAAACGGGUGAGUAACGCGUAAGCAACCUGCCCUUCAGAUGGGGACAACAGCUGGAAACGGCUGCUAAUACCGAAUACGUUCUUUUGUCGCAUGGCAGAGAGAAGAAAGGGAGGCUCUUCGGAGCUUUCGCUGAAGGAGGGGCUUGCGUCUGAUUAGCUAGUUGGAGGGGUAACGGCCCACCAAGGCGACGAUCAGUAGCCGGUCUGAGAGGAUGAACGGCCACAUUGGGACUGAGACACGGCCCAG
rnacentral:rRNA from 1 species